rnacentral:rRNA from 1 species
AUUGAACGCUGGCGGCAGGCUUAACACAUGCAAGUCGAGCGGGGUGAUGGUGCUUGCACUAUCACUUAGCGGCGGACGGGUGAGUAAUGCUUAGGAAUCUGCCUAUUAGUGGGGGACAACAUCUCGAAAGGAAUGCUAAUACCGCAUACGUCCUACGGGAGAAAGCAGGGGAUCACUUGUGACCUUGCGCUAAUAGAUGAGCCUAAGUCGGAUUAGCUAGUUGGUGGGGUAAAGGCCUACCAAGGCGACGAUCUGUAGCGGGUCUGAGAGGAUGAUCCGCCACACUGGGGCUGAGACACGGCCCAGACUCCUACGGGAGGCAGCAGUGGGGAAUAUUGGACAAUGGGGGGAACCCUGAUCCAGCCAUGCCGCGUGUGUGAAGAAGGCCUUAUGGUUGUAAAGCACUUUAAGCGAGGAGGAGGUUCUUUUGGUUAAUACCCAAGAUGAGUGGACGUUACUCGCAGAAUAAGCACCGGCUAACUCUGUGCCAGCAGCCGCCGUAA